rnacentral:lncRNA from 1 species
AGGGACUGAAACUUCCUGUGUUUCAUUUGGAAGAUGGAGAACUGUGAUACAGUCACUAAAGACAGUGCUUUCUCCUUGCACGAAUACAGCAUGGCAUGCACACAUUAGAUCUCUCAUUGGUAUUAAAAGAAAAAAAAUAAUGAUUAAGUACCUAAUAUCCCUCAUUCAGAGGGACCUCAGGUGCUUCCAAGUCAGAGCUGAUGACAGCAUGCUGCAAAGAAAUCAUGGCAGAUGUCAUCAGAAUAAAAGCCAUAAUGUUCUUAAGAUGGAAAUGAAGAAGUGAAUAAUCCACAUCCUCCAAGAGUUUGAGCUCAUGUACUAGAGCCCAUGGUUAAAGCAUGCCACCUGGGUGUCUGGUAAUCAGAAAUGAACAUACCCAGAGGGACUUAGGGUCACGAGGGAGUGGAGAAGCAGAGAAUCUGGCUGCUGGGAGUGUGAAACAGAAUGGAUGUACAGAGGGUGCUCAAUCACGGCCACUGCUUUACUCUGCCUUGUCACACAGCCGCAGGAAACAGUCCAUUCUGAAUGUGAUGGAAAAGAAGAAACACUUAGCAGCUCAGAUGUAGAGCUUGCUGGAAAGACAAAUGGCGACUACCCCCAAACAAAGGCAGAAACAAACUGUACUGCAGCUGACACAGUGGAGGGAGAACGUGCUGCAGAAACUAACAAAACUUCCACAUCUUUUGCUGAAACAAUAGGAAAAGUAGGUUGUAGUUCACACCAUUGUUUGCAGCAUGAACCUUCUGACACCAGUUCAGCAAUUCCUGGCGAAUCUAGGAGAAAGAAACCAGAUUUAGAAAGUGCUGCCAUUGCAGAUCAAAGGGCCGUGGCUGAAAGCUCUGAAAAACAAGCAGGCCUUCUGCGGGAGGAGCAGGCAGGAGGUGAAGGGGAUGAAGUGGCUGCGCCUGCAGGGUCAGCACAGGGGGUCCAGCACAGCUCAGACAGCAGAGCGAUCUCCCCACUUCUGCGAGAAGUGAGCACGCAGGAUGGGAGUGUGCAGAUCAUCAGGGAUCACGUAACACACUGUCCGGUUGCCUUUCAGAAUUCUUUGCUGUAUGAAUUAGACUAGCUGAAUUGUUUUAGGAUUUCCUUCUGUUGUUCAGUGCUUUACUGUGACUUCCACAGGUUGGUUUAUGACUUCAGGACCAAGAGUAGAACACAGGUUCCUACUCAAACUGUUUUGUUUACAUGUCAACAGAGAAUACCUGUAUUGUUAAUAAUUUGUGAAGUUAAUAGGUCUGAGUUUUCUUAUGUAUGGGCUGAAAUAGUUUUCCUUACUAGAAAAGUGCAGUUGAAGAUGAAUCUGAGCUCAUGGAAGAAAAAUACAUCUUAAUGUUUACAUACCUUUCUCAGUCUCUUGCUACGUUACAGGGAGUAUUUGUAUAUAUCCUCCUUCUAACGGCUCCCUCAGGACUUGUUGUGUUUAAUCCACCUAGAAAUGAGCAGUAUUCCUCAUUUUUCAAGCCUUUCUUUUUGUGAUAACUGCAGGAUUAGACUUGCAGUGAUUUGUAGCAAGGAGCUGGAAUUUCUAAUUACAUGGAGUAGUUCUAAGUAGUCUCUGAGAAAUAAUCAGCAUUUAUACUGUGUAUUCCAUCCUAGCAUGUUACUUUAGACCCAUAGCAUCCAGACCUACCCCAGUCUGUCAAGCUAACAGAUUCAGUUGUACAGUAAAAGCAGCCUUUUUUGUUGUGCAUCUGCUACAAAAUAUUUACAAUUUUUAAAAGGCAUUUUUAUCCUGAUUAGAUUUACUUUUAAAAAAAAGUUCCCCAAGAGCUUCAGCGUGCUGUUUGCUGAUUCACCUCUCUGAAGAAAAGAACAGAUAUAGUAAUAAACUUUCAGUUCCCUUUCUCACUACCUCUGAUUCAACUUCUGGGUUCUUUUGAGUUAUAGAGGACACAAACAUGCUUUAGAAAACAGUUCAAUUUGACUUGUUUCUCAGCUGCUCUGGAAUUUACCCUUACAUUUCUCUGUUAGAUGCGAGUGCUUGCAGUGGGGGUAUAUGGUAUAAGCUUUACUUUUCUAAGCUUGGCAGAGACCACAGCUGCCAGAAGCCUCUGCCCUACCCUAAUCAGCAGCACAGCUGCUGCCCAGCUGAAGGAGGACAAGUGGUUUGCUGGGGUAAGCUUAGCCCUGAUCAGCCUGGUCAUGAGGUUCCUUCUGGGGUCAUCGAGGGGCUGAGGCACAGGCACAGCUAUUUUGGCAUCAGCCCUGACUCUGUGAAGCUGUGAAAAAGGGACAAGUGCCAAAGCUGGUACAAAAUCGUGGUAGUUAAAUUACACCUGCAAAAAAAGAGCAUCUUGUCACGGUCAAAAUAAACGUCUGCACACUACUUGAAGUACUUCACAUAACUCGGCUCUCUCUCAAAUCGACAUAUAAUGGAUGUAUUCACAGCCCAUAUAGUAGGUGACAAAUGGUGGUAAAAGGAAAUCCUUGCUACAUGUCCUUCCAUUUAUAAGUGACCAUUGUAGCCAGAGUCCUGAGAGCAAGAACCCCAUUUUCUCUAAUGAAAAGAAACAAAGCUUUUAUUUCCCCCUCCCACUUUCUCAGUAC